rnacentral:rRNA from 1 species
UACGGAGGGUGCUAGCGUUGUUCGGAAUCACUGGGCGUAAAGCGCGUGUAGGCGGUCUGCUAAGUCUGAUGUGAAAGCCCGGGGCUCACCCCCGGAAGUGCAUUGGAAACUGACAGACUGGAGUCCCGGAGAGGAGGGUGGAAUUCCUGGUGUAGCGGUGAAAUGCGUAGAGAUCGGGAGGAACACCGGUGGCGAAGGCGGCCUGCUGGGCAGUAGCUGACACUGAGGCGCGACAGCGUGGGGAGCAAACAGG